UACGGAGGGGGCUAGCGUUGUUCGGAAUUACUGGGCGUAAAGCGCACGUAGGCGGCUUUGUAAGUUAGAGGUGAAAGCCCGGGGCUCAACUCCGGAAUUGCCUUUAAGACUGCAUCGCUAGAAUUGUGGAGAGGUAAGUGGAAUUCCGAGUGUAGAGGUGAAAUUCGUAGAUAUUCGGGAAGAAACACCAGUGGCGAAGGCGACU
rnacentral:rRNA from 1 species